rnacentral:tRNA from 1 species
GGGAUUGUAGCUCAGCGGUUAGAGCAGGAUGCUCAUAACGUCUUGGUCGUAGGUUCGAUUCCUACCAAUCCCACCA